CUGCAUCAGACCGUACUCAGACAGGUUUCCAGUCUCUCCGUGAUCGGCGUGUGACACGAGCUGCUGAGGAUCGGGACAGGAUCUGACCAUCUGAUUGGCUGACGGCAGGAUGGUCAAAGGGUCAGCUGGUGUGACCUCACCAUUGUCCUAAGGCCCCUUGGAAGUUUGUGUUAGAGGUGCAGUGGUGGGCAGAGUGAAUGGAGGUCUGUGGGCUCUAGGUCGCCCUCUGGUGGAGGAUUGUGAACUGCAGCUGCUGGGUUUGGACUCACUGGAGGGCAGACAGCUGCAGGAGGAGAUCACGCCGUGUUUGGGCUUCAUGAGGAGUGUGUAUUGUGUCUCCUCUCCAUGCGCCCCGUGCCCUGUCUGGGAGAGCCUGCCCUCUGGGCUGAUGGACAGAUGUACAGGCCAAUCAUGAUCCACCGGGCGGUGCUGGGGUCCCUGGAGAGGAUGAUCGCUAUCCUGGCUGAAUACUUAGGAGGGAAAUGGUGUGUGUGUGUGUGUGUGUGUGUGUGUACCUACUUAACCACAUUUUGGGGANCUAAUCGUAUUUUGGGGACAAAUUUGUUCCCAAAAGUGAGCUAAACCUGACAAAAUCUCCAAAAACCUUGCUUUGGGAACAUCUUCAUUUGUAAAACUAGCUUAAAAAUAAACAAAAAAUUUUUUUUUUUUUUUUGAGAUUGUUAAAAUGCAGAAAAUUUUCUGUGAGGGGUAGGUUUAGGUGUAGGGCAACAGAAAAUAAAGUUUGUACAGUAUAAAAACCAUUACGCCUCUGGAGAGUCCCCAUUUAGAUAGCUAAGUAAAUGUGUGUCUGUGUGUGAGUUCAGGGUUUUUUUAAUUGUUACAGUAUUAAUUUUCUGUCUUUCUCAGGCCUCCUGGUUGUCGCAGGUGAAGGUGGUGCCUGUAGGGGGCAGCAGUGAGACGUACAGACCUCCUCAAUAUCAUUAUAAACAGUUUAUGGGUACGUGAUGCAUUCUGCUGUGGUUUCAGGUGGUCUGUAGACUGAGGGAAGCCGGAUUCAUGGCUGAUGUUGAUGAUGAUCGUGGAAGCACCUUAAAUAAGAAAAUCCACUUGGCGCAGCUUGCAUAGUACAAUUCUAUAUUCGGUACAGAUGUGUUUUCAUACAGAAAUGCUUUCUCGUGUCCCAGUUUAUUUGUGCAGUUGUAUGCGGUGCAGAAAUGACACGCUUGACCUUUAAGUGUUUUAAUGGUUUAAUUGCUCUCUGCUGGUACACAUGUAAAGAAUGAGUGUUCUGGGGCCUAUUCGGAAAAUGUCAGAUAAACAAAACCCUCCCUGUGUUUGUCAUGCAGUGGUGGGAGAGAAGGAGUGUGCAGGAAGUGAUGCGCUCACUGAAGGAACUCAGACAGACACGCAGCGGUCUGGAGGUGUUUUAAAGGCUCACGUGAGGAACACUGACACACACCACGACAGAAGCUUCAUAUGAGCUGAUCUCAGCUUCAUCAGAUCCCUGUUGAGUUCUACAGACACACAAACUCAUUCCUUUCAGCAGUGUACUCUGGACCUGGUGUGCUGUUAUUUUAUUUAUAAUAAAAUAAUAAAUUACUUUUAAUAUUCAGUCUCUCUGUUUCCCUGUCAACAUACAUAGUAAUUAAUACUCUAACUUCAGUCAUUUAAACAGAUCAGUAAUGCAUAAAUGAAUAUAUGAAAGGUUUUUGGAAAACUGUGGUCCAUACAAUUUUUUGAUAAUUGAUUAUUUUAUUUAUUUAUGUAUGUAUGCAUGUGUGUAACUUUGGAUCAAUAUUUAAAAUUUAUUAUUUUUAAUUAUUAAUACAAUUUAUUAUUAUUAUUAUUGUGGUGUUAGUAUAACAAUAUUAUGAUAUACCAAAUAAUUAAUUUAAUUUUAAAUACCACAUUAUAUUACUAUCUCAGGUACAAAUGUGUGCUAAAAUACAGAACUGCAUUUAUAUUUUAAGAAGCGAGGUAGUUGGUAUGAGGAUCAAAUAUAUUUGGGGUCCUUUACAUCAAAAUUUGAAAAACCCUGGUAUAAAUCAAAGGUUAAUUAAUUAAAAUUCACAAGGGUAAGCGUUAUAUUAUGUUGACUGCAAUAUGUUUUUUAUUAUNUUUUCUCACAGUGUACAAAUUAGUUUUAAAUUAUAAAGCUGCAUAUAUAUAUUUGGGGAUCAUAUUUCACUUGAAAAAGAAAAAAUAAACCCUGGUAUCAAAGUUGAAUUAAGAAAAUACACACACAAAAAAAUCCAAAAGCAAACAAUAGUUAGCUAACAAUGCUUUUGGGAAACACACAUGGUUGCUAUGACAAGGCCCCACCUUCAAUCAAGCUCCAUUAAUAGUGUGUAUUAUUAUUAAUUCAUGUUAUGUGACCUUGGAUCCAUUACCAUGUCUCCAAACAUUUGUGUUAAUGCAUAAAUAGCAGCAGCAGCGUCAGUGUCUGAAAAUAACUAAUGUGCAUUAAUAGAGAGCAGAGUUGAGUGUUUGACUAAAAUAGGAGUAAUUCAUAGAAGGGGGUGUGUGUUGUUGACGAAACAGGAUAAAGCAGCACAGGUCAGGGACGGCCUUGACCCGCUGGUGUUUGUGCCUUAUUAGAAGAAAGGCGUCAGAAUGGAGAGGACGUGACUCACAUGGGAGAAAAACACGCUCACACCCCAACAAAUGUCUAUCGGAUCCACAAAGGGCACCAAAAAAGACUCUACAGAGGUUUUAUCGGAUGCACGUAUGAAAGAAGGUGACAUGCUGGAGUGUGUGCAGGGGUUAUGGGACUUUGAGACUCUCUCCGCAGACCGAAGCCAAGCCAGAAAGAAAAAGACAAAAUGAGAUCUGAGAAGGAAAGUUCAUGGCCUGGUUCUGCUUGAGGACUCACUGAAGUGCUCAUGGGAAGCAUUUAAGCUUCCACUGGACAUGAGAGAAGACAUAUGCAUGCAAAAAAAUACACACUUAAGUUUAGUACUUAAUGUUAAAUGUUUCAGUCACAUAGGCCUUCAGUAAGUAUGUGCAAUAGGAAUGCUUCACUUACACUCUUUAAAUGCAAAAUCUUGCAUAGAGGUCUCAUUUCUUUAAAGGGGUAAUGAACUGAGAAACCGAAAUUCUCUUGAUCUUUUGAACUAUAAGAGGUCCUUGUGCUAUAAAAACUUCCUGUUAUUUUCCAAACUCAAAACUUUCUCUUUAGUCUGAAAACAGCUUAUACUGAAGACAGUCUGCCAAACACAACUCUAUGAUGAAACAGUGUGUGGCUAAGCACCGCCUCCGCAGAAGAUGAUCAACACCUGCUUCUACAGCGCUGCCUGUUUAGCCCCGCCCCCGAUUCUGUGAUGAUGAUGAUCAAAGUACCCAAAAAGAUUUGAGGCUGUAAUUGGUGCCAAAGGUGCUUCGACAAAGUAUUGAGCAAAGGCUGUGAAUACUUAUGUGCAGUACAUGUCAUUUUUUAUUUUUAAUAAAUUUGCAAAGAUUUCAAACAGACUCCUUUCACGUUGUCAUUUUAAGGAAAAUAAUGAAUUUGAUCCAUUUUGGAAUAAGGCUGUAACAUGACAAAAUGUGGAAAAAGUGAAGUGCGGUAUAAGGUUUUUUUUUUUAACAUUAUAAGAGUACCUUAGAGAACAGUUUAAAAAAAAAAAAAAAACACCAAGGCAAUUCAUGACCCCUUUAAAGAAUUUGCUUUCUCUUGGAGUCUGAGAGCCAAAAAAAGAAACUUGUUGCAAUUUUAUAAAACUGUCAUGCUAGGGAUGGCAUAUCUUCCUCUGUCGUCCCACACACACACACACACACACACACACUCCCCUGCACAAGGUCAUUCUUCAUUCAGAGGGCAGUGUUGCAGAAGUUCACCGGGGGUUAUUUUAGGCUGCAGUGGUUUAGGAGUGUUUACAGCGCCGCGUGCAUGAGGCGGUGUGUUUGAUGGUAUAUAAGUGCGGGCACGGGUUUGCUAAUGGUGUCAGGGCUGCAUAUAGAUGUGUAAAACCCUUCUGUGAAAGAGUGGUGACAUUGACAUGAACAGAGGGAAACGGCAGGCCUUCCUGCGUUGCUCUGAGAAGGUCUGACUAUCAGUGAGAGCAUGUCAGGCAGGAAUGAUUAAGGGACGCGCUUAAAAUAACCCGCCUUGAGCUCCUAGUGCACUCGCUCUCCCUGAUAAAAAUACACCCGUACAGUUCACGGCCACUGAAACAAAAACAAGAGGUAAUCUCCUAAUUUGUCAUUCAUGAUUCAGUGGGAUUUACAGUACACUGGUUCAGUAUUCCCAUCCUCCUGAAGUAACCUUACGAUAAGUGCCUUGUUUUAAGAGCACAGUGAUCGUAAUUCAUGGAUCACACCUUAAUUUGGACCUACGUCCUUUUGGUUAGAAGCCCAGAGCUUUAACCUCUGGACCAGUGGUUCUCAAGUCUUUUUUGGGCCAGCGCCCCUUAACCAUUAUUCAGGUACAUAGGUAAUGAAUAAAAACCAAGUCAAUUAUGUUGCAAAUAAGUAUUUAUUAAAACUGGCAGAAAGACAUUGCAAGGCUUUUAGUGGUAAAAUAAAAUUUUCAGUAUUUCAACAGUUAAAAUCUUAUCAUAAAGAUAACAUAGCAUCACAAAAUAACUACAAAUACCUGUUAAAAAAAAAAAAGCCAUAUUCUGAGUAGAACAUUAACUUUCUAUAAAAAUGAAGGUCAAUCAACAUAAUUUGUAUAAUUUUGGUAAAAGAAAAAAAAAUGUUUUAAAAGGAUUAAAGUAAAAUGCUGGAAUCAACACAAAUCACAAAUUCUGUUGUUUGAGCUUAUGUUCUAUUACAUUAAGAAUAUUCAUGCAAAAGACAAAUUAAUAAAUACAUACUCAGAGUCCAUCAACUUUCUGAGAUGAGCACACACACAAGGGUUGUCCCUCUUCUCUGAGACCUUUCCACUUGUUUUGCCUCUAUGUAUCUGUCUUGUAUCCAGUGAGUGUUGUGAUUCCAAGAAAACAUCUGCACAUAAAAACAAGCACAAGCAUG
rnacentral:lncRNA from 12 species